UUGAACGCUGGCGGCAUGCCUUACCCAUGCCAGUCGAACGGCAGCGCGGACUUCGGUCUGGCGGCGAGUGGCGAACGGGUGAGUAAUACAUCGGAACGUACCCUGUUGUGGGGGAUAACUAGUCGAAAGAUUAGCUAAUACCGCAUACGACCUGAGGGUGAAAGUGGGGGACCGCAAGGCCUCACGCAGCAGGAGCGGCCGAUGUCUGAUUAGCUAGUUGGUGGGGUAAAGGCCCACCAAGGCGACGAUCAGUAGCUGGUCUGAGAGGACGAUCAGCCACACUGGGACUGAGACACGGCCCAGACUCCUACGGGAGGCAGCAGUGGGGAAUUUUGGACAAUGGGGGCAACCCUGAUCCAGCAAUGCCGCGUGUGUGAAGAAGGCCUUCGGGUUGUAAAGCACUUUUGUCCGGAAAGAAAUCGCGCUGGUUAAUACCUGGCGUGGAUGACGGUACCGGAAGAAUAAGCACCGGCUAACUACGUG
rnacentral:rRNA from 1 species